GGAUUGUGACUUAGUGGUAGAGUGCUCGCCUAGCACGGGCGGGACCCGGGUUUGAUUCUCAGCACCA
rnacentral:tRNA from 1 species